CGGGGUGGCUUUUCAGAAGUGUAAAAAGCUUCUGGAAUAAGGGCUGGGCAAGACCGGUGCCAGCCGCCGCGGUAACACCGGCAGCUCAAGUGGUAGCCGCUUUUAUUGGGCCUAAAGCGUCCGUAGCCGGUCUGAUAAGUCUCUGGUGAAAUCCCACAGCUUAACUGUGGGAAUUGCUGGAGAUACUAUCAUGACUCGAGGUCGGGAGAGGCUGGAGGUACUCCCAGGGUAGGGGU
rnacentral:rRNA from 1 species